GCCCAGAUGGCUGAGUGGUUAAAGCGCAUGCUUGGAGAGCAUGUUUCCUUACGGAUUCGCAGGUUCGAAUCCUGCUCUGGGCG
rnacentral:tRNA from 1 species